UACGUGGGGGACAAGCGUUGUCCGGAAUUAUUGGGCGUAAAGCGCGCGUAGGUGGCCUCAUAAGUCCGCUGUGAAAGUCAAAGGCUCAACCUUUGAAAGCCGGUGGAUACUGUGGGGCUAGAGUACGGAAGAGGCGAGUGGAAUUCCUGGUGUAGCGGUGGAAUGCGCAGAUAUCAGGAGGAACACCAAUAGCGAAGGCAGCUCGCUGGGACGUUACUGACACUGAGGCGCGAAAGCGUGGGGAGCGAACAGG
rnacentral:rRNA from 1 species